rnacentral:rRNA from 1 species
CCUACGGGAGGCUGCAGUGGGGAAUAUUGGACAAUGGGCGAAAGCCUGAUCCAGUCAUGCCGCGUGUGUGAAGAAGGCCUUCGGGUUGUAAAGCACUUUCAGUGGGGAAGAAAGCCUUGGGGCUAAUACCCUCGAGGAAGGACAUCACCCACAGAAGAAGCACCGGCUAACUCCGUGCCAGCAGCCGCGGUAAUACGGAGGGUGCGAGCGUUAAUCGGAAUUACUGGGCGUAAAGCGCGCGUAGGCGGUCUGAUAAGCCGGUUGUGAAAGCCCCGGGCUCAACCUGGGAACGGCAUCCGGAACUGUCAGGCUAGAGUGCAGGAGAGGAAGGUAGAAUUCCCGGUGUAGCGGUGAAAUGCGUAGAGAUCGGGAGGAAUACCAGUGGCGAAGGCGGCCUUCUGGACUGACACUGACGCUGAGGUGCGAAAGCGUGGGUAGCAAACAGGAUUAGAUACCCUGGUAGUC